GUGCAUGAAUGAAUUACAGCACAGCAGCAAGUCUCCAGCAGCAGCAGCAGUCUCCAGCCUGGGGAUCAGGUCCCCCAAGAUACUAUAGUGAGUUCGUUUCGGAUGCGAAAUCCAUGAAAUCAAAUCAAGCAUCAAUAAAGUCGGCAUAUGAAUAACAUGAAUUAAACAUAAAUGCAAAAAGGCCAAGAAGCCGAGAGCUGAUUGAUCACUUGCAGCCACUUGCACCCGCUUAGGCUGACUCCUAAUGCCCCGCUCCUGCUCCUCCCUGCUGUUGCCCACAUUCACGUCAGGGCUUGCUUCACAUUCCGUGGCUCAACGAAAAAUUUUAAAUUAAAAUUUUCGCACACUCAAAGAGCAGGAAAUAAAUCCAACGGCAGCAGCAACAGCAACAGCAGCAGCAGCCGCAUCGAUGCAUGUCACGUCCGUCUCUCCGUCUCGAUUUUACGUGGAACUGUCAAAAUGCAAGCAAAAGCUGCGCUCAACGGCAAUAACAAUGGCAAUGGCAGUGCAAUGCUAAGUGCCAAGUGAAAAUGGAUUUUUGGGGAGUCAACUGUCAAAACUGACAGCAGCAACAACAGUUACAGUGGCACCCACUUUUUUUCCUCCACCAAAUUGAAAAUUAACUUAGCGGAACUCUGAAAUUUGGGCUGGAACGUCUCACUCUUUGUUGGCCCCGAAAUAAAAUUGUGGCCACAUUUUCAUAACAACAAUUUUUGAGACGUAGGCGUGUGAAUCUAGAACAGUGGCAACAAAUUGCGCGCAAUUAGAAAACAUGGAGCUGCAGUUAAAGUACAAGACUCUACAAGCUGGGAAAAUUUGGUAAUAAAGUGUUUGA